AUUGAACGCUGGCGGCAUGCCUUACACAUGCAAGUCGAACGGCAGCACGGGAGCAAUCCUGGUGGCGAGUGGCGAACGGGUGAGUAACGCAUCGGAACGUGCCCAGUCGUGGGGGAUAGCCCGGCGAAAGCCGGAUUAAUACCGCAUACGACCUAUGGGUGAAAGCGGGGGACCGAAGGGCCUCGCACGAUUGGAGCGGCCGAUGUCAGAUUAGGUAGUUGGUGGGGUAAAGGCCCACCAAGCCGACGAUCUGUAGCUGGUCUGAGAGGACGACCAGCCACCCUGGGACUGGGACACGGCACAGACUCCUACGGGAGGCAGCAGUGGGGAAUUUUGGACAAUGGGCGCAAGCCUGAUCCAGCCAUGCCGCGUGCGGGAAGAAGGCCUUCGGGUUGUAAACCGCUUUUGUCGGGGAAGAAAUGCUCCGGGAUAAUACCCUGGGGAGAUGACGGUACCCGAAGAAUAAGCACCGGCUAACUACGUGCCAGCCGCCGCCGUAACAC
rnacentral:rRNA from 1 species